CUCUGAGCAGAGAGCAGUGAGAGGCCACGGGACCAGGGGAUCCACAGGGAAACAGAAAUCACAAACUCCCUCAAACUGAAACAUUUGGGGAUUUUCUGUGAAGUCAGAGUUUGUCCUGUGGAAGAACGGACCGGCUGCUGGUCACCAUGUUCCAUUUCAUCUGGGUGGCUCUGCUGCUGACCGUUGCAGAAACAAAACAGGGGAAUGAUGAAAAGUCCUGCUUGACUCUAAGUGACAGAAAACUAACAGCAGAGGCUGAACUCUGUGCUGUUGUACCGUGUUUGACUGGAGCGAAUUCUGAUGUCAGUGUAACAUGGCAUAAAUCUGAUCAACACUGUGACAAGACAGGAAACAAAGACAACACAAACAACUGCAGAAUCAUCAUGAAAGACCUCUCCCAGCUGGACCGCGGAUCAUAUCUGCUCAAAAUCUCUGAGAUCAGUCAGAAGCCCACAGUGGAGAGUUCUCUCCUGAGAGCAGGACACCACGCCACUCUGACCUGCACGGUCCUCGGCCUCAGCGAUAAACCCGUUUCUAGUAUCGACUGGACGUGGAGCGCUGCGGGAGGGAACAUCUCAACCAUCGAGGGAACCGACAAUCCAGCUAAGACUGAGAAUCUGACUGGCAAAGCACAGAGACACAACUCAACUCUGACCUUUAAGGCGACAGCUGAGCACCAUGGAACAAAUGUCACCUGUACAGUUAACUUCGGAGAUGGCAGUACUGCAGAGGAGAACAAAACCCUCAGUGUCUCCUCAUUUUCAGGGAUCCUGAACGCCUCUGCAUGUCAGCGGCAGUCGGGCGUGCUGACCUGUGUGUGUGUCAGUGAGGGCUUUCCACUGCCCACCAUCACAUGGCCGCAGUUAGAGAAGCGUACAGACUACUCUGUACUGACCACCGUGUCCAACAACACUGUGAAUAAUACCGUCACCGUGUCUGAGAAAACAAACAGCCACGCAACCUUUCAGUGUGUCAGCAGUAAUGGGGCGAACGAAGUCAGAAGAGAUAUCACAGUCACAGAAUCUGAGGCACAACAAAAAGUUCCAGAUCUUCUCGCAGAGCUGUGGAGGAUUAUAAAACAGCUGGAGGUCAUCGUAGCGUUUUUGAUUGGCUUACUGUUCGGGAUAAUAUUUUCAUCAUUCCUCACAUGUUUGGCAAGAAAAUGUCGAAGACAGAAGCUGAAGCCUGGCAGACUGACGGAGGACUUAGAGAUGAACACCCACGCUGUUCAGAUGGAAGUGUGUCACGCAGCUGAAGAUGAAGGGACGGAGGAAGCUGGAAUGAUGGCUGCUGGGCCGUCGGCACCCGAGGGUGACGUGAGGCCCAAAGAGGUGGAGUACUCCCACAUCGACUUCUCCCUGCUGAAGGCCAAGAAUCCCGCGGAGGAAGAUUCGACACAAGGCGCCACCGAGACGGAGUACGCUGAAAUCAAAAAGGAAAUAAGAGAGGAGGGGGAAGGCAAUGAUGGAGAAGGGAGUGAGGAGAUGAGGGAGGACGAGCGGACCACAGAGGACGGAGGCGAGCAGGACACUCUCUAUUCCAACGUGAAAGAAAUAAUGGAUGAAUGAAAUGUGAGGACUGUGUACAGUGGCUGAGCUUCUCUUUAAACUAUUAGUGAAGAAAGCAGAGUAAGACGUGCACGGUAAGAAUUUUAGAUGAGGAUGGAUGUAGUGCAGUGAGGCCUGAGGAUAUUGUAUUCUUUGUCUCUUUUCUUCUAACUGGACACUCCAUUGUCAAACCAAUUCAAUUUGAACAAAAGGUUGGAAAGGUAUGGGAAGUCAAAAUUGGACACAAGUGGCCUUGAUUGCUUUGAGGUUGUCUGAAAUAUUCUGCAAAGAUAUUUGCAUAAAUCUUAGAAUUGAGAUCAGAUUGGCUUCCUUUUGGUCUUUAAGGUUCCUGCUUUUGUAUGUUGGCGAGUGGGUGGAUCCACCAGUGUUUGGCUUCACUGUAAUGCUUUUUUUAAAUACAGCAUUUCUUUCUGUGAAUCUCCAAGUAGCAAAAAGUGAGAACUUUUUGUUGUUUCAGUUUAGUAAGCUCAUCGUCAAGUUUAUGAUAUGAUGGUCAGCUCAAAAGAGCCACGAGAACUUAAGAAAAUGGGAUGGAAUGAAGAGCAGCUUAUUUUGUAAAAACACACAAAUAAAAAAAAACUAAGAAAAAAGCUUUUUUUUUUUAGGAUUGUUCAACAGAAAAAACCUGUGAUGUGUUCAGAUUUUUGGGUUCUGUAUUAUAUUGACAGGAAGUUCACUUUUCUUCUUUUUUUGAGCAAUAAAAGCGCUUUAACCAUAAAAAUCACAUUUUUUUUCUGUCAUGUGUUAUGACAACCUUAAUCUUUUUCAAACAUGUGGCACUCAGCUCAUUUUUACCUUUUAUUAAUUAAUUAUCUGAAACUUAAAGGUGCUGUAGGCAGGAUUUUGCUAGUCAAUGCAAAUUUUUCUGUUUUCUUUGGAUUAAAUGUUAGAGUAUCCAUUGAUAAUCCUUUAGGAGUGUAGCAUAAUUGCACUACCGCAAGGGCGCAGCAUUUCCAUUUGUCUCUGUUCUGAGCUGAAAAGGAAUCUCGACAGCUCCAGGUAUCUUUGACCAAUCAGAAGAGCCCAUGAGGCUCUAACCAUGAUUAGUCGAGGGGUGUUCGUCGCACGUUCUUGUGGGAGGGGCUUAACUUGCAUAAGGGAG
rnacentral:lncRNA from 1 species